CCAGCGGUCCGGCCGGGAACUCAAAGGAGACUGCCAGUGAUAAACUGGAGGAAGGUGGGGAUGACGUCAAGUCAUCAUGGCCCUUACGACCAGGGCUACACACGUGCUACAAUGGCAUAUACAAAGAGAAGCGACCUCGCGAGAGCAAGCGGACCUCAUAAAGUAUGUCGUAGUCCGGAUUGGAGUCUGCAACUCGACUCCAUGAAGUCGGAAUCGCUAGUAAUCGUAGAUCAGAAUGCUACGGUGAAUACGUUCCCGGGCCUUGUACACACCGCCCGUCACACCAUGGGAGUGGGUUGCAAAAGAAGUAGGUAGCUUAACCUUCGGGAGGGCGCUUACCACUUUGUGAUUCAUGACUGGGGUGAAGUCGUAACAAGGUAACCGUAGGGGAACCUGCGGUUGGAUCACCUCCUU
rnacentral:rRNA from 1 species